rnacentral:rRNA from 1 species
UUUAAAUUUAGAGUUUGAUCCUGGCUCAGGACGAACGCUGGCGGCGUGCUUAACACAUGCAAGUCGAGCGAUGAAGCUUCCUUCGGGAAGUGGAAUUAGCGGCGGACGGGUGAGUAACACGUGGGUAACCUGCCUCAAAGUGGGGGGAUAGCCUUCCGAAAGGAAGAUUAAUACCGCAUAAUAUAGGAGAAUCGCAUGAUUUUCUUAUCAAAGAUUUAUUGCUUUGAGAUGGACCCGCGGCGCAUUAGCUAGUUGGUAAGGUAAUGGCUUACCAAGGCAACGAUGCGUAGCCGACCUGAGAGGGUGAUCGGCCACAUUGGAACUGAGACACGGUCCAGACUCCUACGGGAGGCAGCAGUGGGGAAUAUUGCGCAAUGGGGGAAACCCUGACGCAGCAACGCCGCGUGGGUGAUGAAGGUCUUCGGAUUGUAAAGCCCUGUUUUCUAGGACGAUAAUGACGGUACUAGAGGAGGAAGCCACGGCUAACUACGUGCCAGCAGCCGCGGUAAUACGUAGGUGGCGAGCGUUGUCCGGAUUUACUGGGCGUAAAGGGUGCGUAGGCGGAUGUUUAAGUGGGAUGUGAAAUCCCCGGGCUUAACCUGGGGGGCUGCAUUCCAAACUGGAUAUCUAGAGUGCAGGAGAGGAAAGCGGAAUUCCUAGUGUAGCGGUGAAAUGCGUAGAGAUUAGGAAGAACACCAGUGGCGAAGGCGGCUUUCUGGACUGUAACUGACGCUGAGGCACGAAAGCGUGGGUAGCAAACAGGAUUAGAUACCCUGGUAGUCCACGCCGUAAACGAUGGAUACUAGGUGUAGGGGGGUAUCAACUCCCCCUGUGCCGCAGUUAACACAAUAAGUAUCCCGCCUGGGGAGUACGGUCGCAAGAUUAAAACUCAAAGGAAUUGACGGGGGCCCGCACAAGCAGCGGAGCAUGUGGUUUAAUUCGAAGCAACGCGAAGAACCUUACCUGGACUUGACAUCCCUUGCAUAGCCUAGAGAUAGGUGAAGCCCUUCGGGGCAAGGAGACAGGUGGUGCAUGGUUGUCGUCAGCUCGUGUCGUGAGAUGUUAGGUUAAGUCCUGCAACGAGCGCAACCCUUGUUAUUAGUUGCUACCAUUAAGUUGAGCACUCUAAUGAGACUGCCUGGGUAACCAGGAGGAAGGUGGGGAUGACGUCAAAUCAUCAUGCCCCUUAUGUCCAGGGCUACACACGUGCUACAAUGGUAGGUACAAUAAGACGCAAGACCGUGAGGUGGAGCAAAACUUAUAAAACCUAUCUCAGUUCGGAUUGUAGGCUGCAACUCGCCUACAUGAAGCUGGAGUUGCUAGUAAUCGCGAAUCAGAAUGUCGCGGUGAAUACGUUCCCGGGCCUUGUACACACCGCCCGUCACACCAUGAGAGCUGGUAACACCCGAAGUCCGUGAGGUAACCGUAAGGAGCCAGCGGCCGAAGGUGGGAUUAGUGAUUGGGGUGAAGUCGUAACAAGGUAGCCGUAGGAGAACCUGCGGCUGGAUCACCUCCUUUCUA